rnacentral:lncRNA from 7 species
UACAAUUACUUGUUAAGGUUACUGCAAGUGAAAGGUUUAGCUUUUUGAAUGUUUGCUUCCUUGAAACUAGAGCAGAUAGCCACUUGGACAUCAUGAAUGAAAUAAUUCCUAUUUUUCAGCAUUUGUCAAGAAUGUGUGGGAUCCUUUAUCGACUUCACAGACUGAGAACCUUACACAGCUUUGCGAUAACGUGUUUGAAAAACAAGUCCUGUCCAGAAGGGAUUGCAGUCAGGCAAAACAGUUGAUAUUGCUGAUGCUUACUGCUGGACGCUCUUAGAGAGAGGAUAACUGGUAAGAGUCUGGUAGGUGUAGGGUUAAGACACAGCUGGGAGAAGAGUGUUGCUAAGCCUGAUGCAGCAUGUUUGUCUGGUUACAAGCAGUGCUGUUCUGCUGAGAAUCCAUUAAACACAUACUCGAGUGUUUCCAACUGCUAAUUCCAUUGGGUAUUGCAAGGAGUUUCAGUUAACAGCUGUUUCCUCAUAUGAAAGAACUCCAUAAUUGUAAUUCAUCCGCGUUUAAGAGAUGAAUUGUCUGUUUGUCUUACUUUCAGGUCAAGCAAAAUCCUUAUUUCCUCUUCCUCUUUUUCUGACCAGCACUGUGGAAGACAAAUCAUCUCCAUGUUCAAAAUUGCAAGGCAGACGGUUUUGGUCAGCUGUUGAGGUGAUCAUCUGCAGGCUGCCUAUCGGGAAUGUCCUCUAAACCGUGCCCAGAAAUUGUAUGGGAGAGUACUCACAAAGGGCUGGGCGAGAAGAGGACAGGAACUAUUUUAAUGAAGAAGUACAGUUGAUGAGGAUUUGAUGUUUGUGCCAUCCUACAGUCUAACUUUCCUAGCAGCUCAUGCAGUCAAAAGGAAGUGUCCUGCCAAACACUCCAGAGAAGUAUGCAGUAGUCGUGGGCUUUGCGACUGCUUUCUGACUGGUGACUGCUAAGAUCACGUACUGUGUCUGUGUGGGUGAACUACCUUGAGGUUAACAGUUACCUUGACAUUAACCAUUCUGUGUUGAGGGGGAGACCAGCGAUGUUCUUACGCUGGGCUUAAGUCUUUUUAAAUAGUCAUUUCUACAGUGAUGACAGGUAACUGAAGACAACUCUUGCUAACGAAUAAUACUGAGGUCAAGUACAAAAGAAUCUUUUUGCUGCUAUGGACCAAGGCUAUCAACCUUACCUGUGUUAUGAGGCUGGUGGCGUUUAAUCCUAUGUAGCGUAUGUUAGCAAAUUGUUAACCAAUUGGAAGGGUGUCAUGCUCUUUCUUUCCUUGGGAGGUGAUGUGUGUAUGUAUGAGGGUACAGCUCAUAGGCACAUGUAAAAUUAAUCUACUUCAAAAUACUAUUUAUGAUCUGUAGUUUUUUAGUGACUAAUUGGCAGUCAGCUUGGAGAGAAUAAAUCCUGUUUUUUGAGUACUGAGAUUGGAUGGACAUGGUAUCUUUUAAGUUUAAAAAGGAGGUUCUAAUGCACCCUCAGCCAUCAGAUAUGCAUGUUCUGUUCCUUCAUUACUGCAGCUGAUCCAGUGUUCUCCUUUGGGAUGGGACUUUACAGGAAGACACAGUCUGUGGUUUGGGACUGAGCAAGCUGCUGAAUCGUUACCUUCUUCUGAACCUCUUCAACACACCACCUGGGCCAGAAAACACAGAGAAGUGUAAAGAGGUGAAAGGUCUUAUUUCCAUGGGGACAGAUGUAGUCUGAAGUGUAAUUAUUUAACAUUUGAAGUUGUUUUUUUGUUUGUUUCUUUGUUUUUAAUGACCUUGGUGUAUAAAAGAAUUUCAAAGCAAGCAUUGGUUCCUAGGCUUUAGGAGUAACUGCUUAAAAUGAUGUUUUUGUUUUUUGAAGAGUAAACACUGCCAAUAAUAACUGAACUAGCCAAAAGGAGAAGUCUGUCAGAAGUGGUGUGACUUAGUGUUACUGAAAGCCUUUUUUUUUUCUUUCUAUUUUUUCUUUCAGAAUACUCUCUGGGUGAACAGGUGAUUGCAUGCUUCCCAGAAAGGUGGUUCCAAAAUCAUGGAAGUGGGUCAACUCUCCCCGAGUCAGUGAACUUCUGCCAGCAUUUGGUUCAGUGAGCACGUAUGCUUCACAGGAAUAACCACAGGUAACAAACAACGUGUUCUUUGGGAUGCAGCACUUCCUCCUAUUCUUUAUGUUAGUAUUUCUUUUAGGGACGUGGUUCAGUGGGCAUGGUGGUGAUGGGUUGACAGUUGGACUAGAUGAUCUUUGUGUUUUUUUCCAACCUUAAUGAUUCUAUGAUUCUUAAAUUCCUCAAGCCUCAUGCAUUUAACACUUUCAGUGAUGUACUUCCAACAUCUACGUACAACUAAAGAUGCAAUCCAUAAUGUAAAAUGGAUCGCUUUUGCAGUACUAGUUCAGGCUAGUUUGAGGCUCUAGACGUUGGGUGCAGUUAGUGGUCAGUGUAGCUCAAGGCAUGUUUUAGCUUUAUUGAUUUUGAAGUCAGGUGUGAAUGUGUUGCUAUAUCAAUUUGUUUUUGUAAUAGUGAUGAAACUGAAGAAGUUGUUCUCCUGUUGGUGAGAGUCAAGGCUCUGCGUAUUGCUCAAGAGCUCACUGAAGAGUGCAAACGGGAACAUCUUAAAUCUGUGAUCAGGAAAUAAGGAUUUCUUUGAAGCAGCAGUUCUUUUACUGAAACAAGCCUGAUGCUCACUCUAAAAAAGUGGUAACGUUUAAUGAGUGGACUGCCUACGGUUGUUUUACUGUGAAAUAUAUAUAUAUUUUUUUUCCAACUGUCUUGUGAUGCCAUCUACUCCUAGAUAGAAUCACAAUGGUCAGUGUGAAGUGCAGGUGUUCUGAAAUAUAUGACGAAGCCUCACUGCUUUGUUCUUUUGGGAAGGAUGACUGCAGUAAGUGCCUGUAACGUUACCACUGCUGGUGAGCAGACAACUUCACGAGCUGUUUUCAGUACCACAUCAAAUCACUCUGACUCAGGAGUCACUGAACUCUAACUUAUUGUCCACUUAAUGAGAUAACUCUACCAAACUCACAGUGAGUUCUUCAUAGCUUUUUGACCCUGACACAGAAGCAGGAAUUCUGUGUGCAGUGAGAAGUCUGAUCUAUGAACAUCUACUGAUGGUAAACGGGUGUUUAGGAAGGUAAGAAGUUGCACAGGAGAACGUCUUAACUA